CAUACAACACUGUGUUUAAUUAGGAAUUUUUUCUUGACAGACCGCACACACGAGCUGCUGCAGAAAAAAUAUAGACAUUUUGCAAAUUUUCUUUUAAAAACUGUAAUUUAAAAUAAAAAAUAUAAAGCAAAAUGACUAACGCCUGGAGAGCCGCUGGACUUACCUACAUCCAAUACUCCAACAUCUGCGCUAAAGUUCUGCGUCAGGCCUUGAAAUCGGAUUUGCGUGCUGAAGCUGCUAAACGUGCCGACAGCCAUGUCAAAUUCACCCCCUGGACUAAUGGCAAACCAGCACAUGAAAAGUGAAAACUUUAAAAUAGACUGUUAAGUAUCUAUUUUAAAGAACUUUUCUCAAGAAAAACAAAACAAGCCGCUGCCGAAUAAACAUCUAAAUUUUAAUUUGGUUUUGUAAUUCCAUGAAUUCUUAAUUUCACCAACACUACCAGCAGUUUAAAAUUCAAUU